rnacentral:rRNA from 1 species
AAUUACAUCAUAGCGGAGGAAAGAAACCAACAGGGAUGCCCUCAGUACCGGCGAGUGAAGCGGCAAAAGCUCAAAUUUUAAAGCUGGCACCUUCGGUGUCCGCGUUGUAAUUUUGUGAGGCAUCUCCGGGUAGGGCGCCGGCCUAAGUUCCUUGGAACAGGACGUCAUAGAGGGUGAGAAUCCCGUGCUUGGCUGGCUGUCCCCGUCCAUGUGAGGUGUCUUCGACGAGUCGAGUUGUUUGGGAAUGCAGCUCAAAAUGGGUGGUAAAUUUCAUCUAAAGCUAAAUAUUGGUGGGAGACCGAUAGCGCACAAGUAGAGUGAUCGAAAGAUGAAAAGCACUUUGAAAAUAGAGUUAAAAAGUACGUGAAAUUGUUGAAAGGGAAGCGCUUGAGACCAGACUUCGGUGGGGGGUGAUCAGCUGUCCUUCUGGGCGGUGCACUUGCUCCCCUCCGGGCCAGCAUCGGUUGGGGCGGCGGGAUAAAGAUCACGGGAAUGUGGCUCCUUUCGGGGAGUGUUAUAGCCCGGGUGAAUGCCGCCAGCUCCGACCGAGGACCGCGCCUUCGGGCUAGGAUGCUUGGCAUAAUGGUCUUCAGCGACCCGUCUUGAAACACGGACCAAGGAGUCUAACAUCUAUGCGAGUGUUUGGGUGUCAAACCCUUACGCGAAAUGAAAGUGAACGGAGGUGGGAACCCGCAAGGGCGCACCAUCGACCGGUCCUGAAGUCUUCUGAAGGAUCUGAGUAGGAGCAUAGCUGUUGGGACCCGAAAGAUGGUGAACUAUGCCUGAAUAGGGUGAAGCCAGAGGAAACUCUGGUGGAGGCUCGCAGCGGUUCUGACGUGCAAAUCGAUCGUCAAAUUUGGGUAUAGGGGCGAAAGACAAUCGACCUCGU